rnacentral:rRNA from 1 species
GACGAACGCUGGCGGCGUGCUUAACACAUGCAAGUCGAACGGAAAGGCCCUGCUUUUGUGGGUUGCUCGAGUGGCGAACGGGUGAGUAACACGUGAGUAACCUGCCCUUGACUUUGGGAUAACUUCAGGAAACUGGGGCUAAUACCGGAUAGGAGCUCCUGCUGCAUGGUGGGGGUUGGAAAGUUUCGGCGGUUGGGGAUGGACUCGCGGCUUAUCAGCUUGUUGGUGAGGUAGUGGCUUACCAAGGCUUUGACGGGUAGCCGGCCUGAGAGGGUGACCGGCCACAUUGGGACUGAGAUACGGCCCAGAAUCCUACGGGAGGCAGCAGUGGGGAAUAUUGCGCAAUGGGCGGAAGCCUGAUGCAGCAACGCCGCGUGCGGGAUGACGGCCUUCGGGGUGUAAACCACUUUCGCCGGUGACGAAGCGUGAGUGACGGUAAUGGGUAAAGAAGCAACGGCUAACUACGUG